UACAGAGGGUGCAAACGUUGCUCGGAAUUAUUGGGCGUAAAGCGCGUGUAGGCGGCUUGUUAAGUUGGUUGUGAAAACCCAUGGCUCAACCAUGGAAGGGCGUCCAAAACUGGCAAGCUAGAGUCCCGACGAGGAUGGCGGAAUUCCCAGUGUAGAGGUGAAAUUCGUAGAUAUUGGGAGGAACACCGGUGGCGAAGGCGGCCAUCUGGGAGGGCACUGACGCUGAGGCGCGAAAGUGUGGGGAGCGAACAGG
rnacentral:rRNA from 1 species